UACGAAGGGUGCAAGCGUUACUCGGAAUUACUGGGCGUAAAGCGCGCGUAGGCGGAUCUGCAAGUCGGGGGUGAAAUCCCGAGGCUCAACCUCGGAACUGCCUUCGAUACUGCGGGUCUCGAGUCCGGGAGAGGUGAGUGGAAUUCCUAGUGUAGAGGUGAAAUUCGUAGAUAUUAGGAAGAACACCAGUGGCGAAGGCGGCUCACUGGCCCGGUACUGACGCUGAGGCGCGAAAGCGUGGGGAGCAAACAGG
rnacentral:rRNA from 1 species